UUCCAGAUUGACAGAGUUCUCUUGGGGCGACCCUUCUAUCCCAAUACAGACACCGUCUUGUUCGUCGUUGUGAACUGGAUCCACAAGUUCGUCCGCAUUCUGUCCAUUCAUUCCACUCGGAGUAGGAAGGAACUAAAGAUUAUAUUGGACAUCCAUGUUCGAAUCCCUACAAGUUCUCUCAUUUCGCUUCAAAACACGGAACUUAUUACACACAGCAGGAAAUUCCCGUUAUCUAUCCAUCGCUAUACUUCGUGUAGUUAUCUAUCCAUCGCUAUACUUCGUGUAGCCAACGUGCUAAUUCGACAAUUUAACCAACUUAUUAGUGAUCACUGGGUUCGAGAAAUUGUUGUUAACUGUCUUGCCCAAGAACACAUACACCCACAACGGUAGCAGCGACGAGUCUUGAACUGAUAACCUAUCGGUGUCACGGCGGCAGACUACUUGGGGAAAAUGCGGAGGGGACCUUACAUUCUGAUGACGGCUUAAAAAAGAGAUAUCAAUAUUAGCUACAACCUCUGUUCUACUUGCUUCAGUUGGAAUUAUUGGGGUCUCACCAAAAGGUGGCAGUCUUGAGGACAAUUUCGAAAAAAGAACUUUUUGAUCUUCCCGACGUGAAGGUUAAAAGUCACAGUACAAGGAAUAAACCAACAUCAUCAAAACGUGCUAAAAAUACGAACCCCUUUGAAGAAGAUGACCCCUUAGCGUUUAUGAACGAAGGGUCAAAGGUCACACGGGGGUUGGGGGUUAAGGGUCAUAUCAUGAUGACAAUGAUGUAGAUUUAUAAGAAGGGUAAAAAAAACGAAAAAAAGUGUAAUAAUAAAACUGUUUAGUUUUUGUGCAUAAUUAGUAAGUCAGUUGGUUACAACUUAUUCUUACAAUUGAAAUAUUAUUUUUGUUAUACCAUGCAUAGUGUGAUCAUAAGUCUAUAGACUUUUUGGACUUAUCAGUGUAAAAAAGAAGUUUUAUUUCAAUGUUUCAUUUACUAUUUGGCUAAAUUUUAUCAGUGUUUUUCCCACAAAUAUUCUGUUACUGUGCCAUUGAUAAUGUAAUACUGAAUUUUCGGCACCUGCGAUAUAAAAGCAUUUUAUUUCUAAUAGAACAAAUAAACAACAAAAUAAUAAUUCCGAAUAAACUCUAGAUUUUUGCUGUUAAUGCUGAUUACUUUUUCAAAUUGCUUGUUUGUUUUAAUACAUUA